GGAGUUAGGUGAAGAGGAGAACAAUGUCCAGGCAGGGGCCGGGGAAGCUCGUGCCAAGGCACUGAGGCACCAGGGGCACGAACAGUGUUGCCCGCAUGGAACUCACACUUAAUGGGAGCGGCAGCCAACAGGUAAAUAUAUAGAAUGCCAUAUGAUGAUAGAUGCUAUGAAGAACAUAAAGAAGGGAAGGCGUGUUGAGAGCGGAAAGGGUGCUGUUUAACAAAGGGCAGUUGGAGAAUGCCUCCCUGAUCAGGUGUUGAGCCCAGUGAAGGAAAGAAAUGAGGGAUCCAGCCAUACAAGUGCCUGGGGGAAGAGCCUUCCAGCAGAGAGACCAGCAAGUGCUCAGGUUCCCCAGGAACCGACACGACGACUGAGAACCAAAACCUGAGGACUGAAG